GCUCUCACAGAAGUUAUCCGAGUUUUCAUGGGGGGAUUUAUGGCCCUGAUGGUAGUUCUGUAAAUUGUAAAAGCUCUCACAGAAGUUAUCCGAGUUUCCAUGGCCUGGCGGUAGAUUUGCAAGACCUCCGCGCUGUGAACGGGGAAAAACACUCACCCCAACCCGCCAUCUCAUCUCUCUAGCCUCGGACAAUAGACAUCACAAGCACUUCAGACGUUUGACAAUGUGAGUGUUCAUGUUCCCUUGACCUGGUAACACUGACAUCUAAAUUGGGUACAGAUUAAGAGGAUGAGGUGUUAUUUUUCCUGCACUUGGUAACACUGACGAUGAAAUGGGUACAGCUUGAAAUGGCGUUGAUGAUUUUCCUAUACUUGGCUAUAGGUGAAUUUAUCUCGCUCGUGAAGUAAGAAAGGGAAGGAUUUUUUAUUUAUUUAUUAUUUUAUUUUAUUUUUCACAACGGAGGAGACGGUUCAAGGGCAAAAAAGACUGUAGAAAAAAAAAGAAAAAAAGUCCACUGCUCAAUGCUACCUGUUGCCACCUGUGAACUAAGACUGCACAGGUUAACGAGUUCGCUAGUCUAAUUUCCGCACCUGUUUCCUGGUGCUAAUGAUCUUGCUAAUGAUUUGACUUACCUGUGAAAUGAUUAAGGAAGCAUUUCAUAUACACCUUCAUCAUCUUAAUUAACCAAACCAGGUGUGAAAUUUGGUGGAAACAGGUUAACGAGAUUAGGCUUUCCAAUUUUCCGCACCUGUAAUUAACCCUGGUAGUGAUUUGACAGGUGUGAUAUUGUCAAGGAAGCAUUUUAUACACACUCUUAUCAUCCCAAUUAACCAAACUAGGUGUGAAACAAGGUAGAAACAGGUUAACGAGAUUAGGUUUUUGAAUUUUCCGCACCUGUAAUUAACCCAGGGAGUGAUUUGACAGGUGUGAUAUUGUCAAGGAAGCAUUUUAUACACACCAUUAUCAUCCUAAUUAACCAAACUAGGUGUGAAAUAUAGUGGAAACAGGUUAACGAGAUUAGGCCUCUCAAUUUUCCGCACCUGUAAUUAACCCAGGUAGUGAUUUGACAAGGUGUGAUAUUGUCAAGGAAGCAUUUUAUACACACCUUCAUCAUCCUAAUUAACCAAACCAGGUGUGAAAUUUGGUGGAAACAGGUUAACGAGAUUAGGUUUUUGAAUUUUCCGCACCUGUAAUUAACCCAGGUAGUGAUUUGACAAGGUGUGAUAUUGUCAAGGAAGCAUUUUAUAGACACUCUUAUCAUCCUAAUUAACCAAACUAGGUGUGAAACAAGGUGGAAACAGGUUAACGAGAUUAGGCUUUUCAACUUUCCGCACCUGUUAUUAACCCAGGUAGUGAUUUGACAGGUGUACAGUGGUCAAGGAAGCAUUUUAUAGACACCUUCAUCAUCCUAAUUAACCAAACUAGGUGUGAAACAAGGUGGAAACAGGUUAACGAGAUUAGGCUUCUCAAUUUUCCGCACCUGUAAUUAACCCAGGGAGUGAUUUGACAAGGUGUGAUAUUGUCAAGGAAGCAUUUUAUACACACUCUUAUCAUCCUAAUUAACCAAACCAGGUGUGAAACAAUGUGGAAACAGGUUAACGAGAUUAGGCUUUUCAAUUUUCCGCACCUGUAAUUAACCCAGGGAGUGAUUUGACAGGUGUGAUAUUGUCAAGGAAACACAUUUUUCACACACCUGUCAUUUCUUGAUUAACCAAACCAGGUGUGUCAUUAAUCAGAGGAGGUAUUUCCACACCUGUCUGUACAUAUAUAACCCUGGUAGUGAUUUGACAAGGUGUGAUAUUGUCAAGGAAACACAUUUUUUACACACCUGUCAUUUCUUAAUUAACCAAAGCAGGUGUGUCAUUAAUUAGAGGAGGUAUUUCCACACCUGUCUGUACAUAUAUAACCCUGGUAGUGAUUUGGCAAGGUGUGAUAUUGUCAAGGAAACACAUUUUUCACACACCUGUCAUUUCUUAAUUAACCAAACCAGGUGUGGGGUUAAUCAGAGGAGGUAUUAACACACCUGUCUGUACAUAUAUAACCCUGGUAGUGAUUUGACAAGGUGUGAUAUUGUCAAGAAAACGCAUUUUUUACAUACCUGUCAUUUCUUGAUUAACCAAAGCAGGUGUGUCAUUAAUUAGAAGAGGUAUUUCCACACCUGUCUGUACAUAUAUAACCCUGGUAGUGAUUUGACAAGGUGUGAUAUUGUCAAGAAAACACAUUUUUUACACACCUGUCAUUUCUUAAUUAACCAAACCAGGUGUGUUGUUAAUUAGAGGAGAUAUUUCCACACCUGUCUGUACAUAUAUAACCCUGGUAGUGAUUUGACAAGGUGUGAUAUUGUCAAGGAAACACAACCACCUUCUAAUUCACCCAUGUAAGUGUGGAGAUGGGCCCCAGGUUAACGAGAUGUGAUAUUCUAUUUUCUACACCUGUUUGUAUGUAAGAAUUAACCUGCUAACAGUUUCUAUUAAAGAGGUUGAGCAAAG